CCGCCGUGGGCGGGGCCUGCGGUGAUUGGCGGGCGGGCGGGGAGGUCGGAAGUACUUUGUUUUUUAUGCUAAUGAGGGAGUGGGGCUUGUCCGUAUUUACGUUGAGGCGGGAGCCGCCGCCCUUCAUUCACCCACAUGGCCCUUCGAGGUGCUGCCGUCGCCGCCCGACCUGCGCCUUCGCGCCACUUCGCGCCCUCGGGCGAGGCCGAGGGGGUGGGGACGACCCCCGCCGCGUAGUCGCGGCUCGCGCCCCUCGCGAAGCUCCUUGGCGGGGCCGGCCGGUCGGCCGGCCGCACCCCCGGCCUGGGGCCUCCGGUCGUAGUAAAGCGGAGGCGGGUGGGGAGGCGGGAGCGAGAGCCCGCGGCGGGCGAGGCGAAGAUGGUGGCGGCUACUCCUCCUGUCAUACACGUGGACCUAACUGCACCAAAAGCUUUUCUAAGGAUACUUGCAAGAAGAAAGUUUUCCCUAGUGGGGAGACCAGUCUAAACAGAACAAGCCAGAGUUGGGUUUUUCCCUGUAGUUUGAAGAGCCCUACAGAAUGA
ensembl:lncRNA